UACGAAGGGAGCUAGCGUUGUUCGGAAUCACUGGGCGUAAAGCGCACGUAGGCGGAUUUGUCAGUCAGGGGUGAAAUCCCGGGGCUCAACCUCGGAACUGCCUUUGAUACAGCAAGUCUUGAGUUCGAGAGAGGUGGGUGGAAUUCCUAGUGUAGAGGUGAAAUGCGCAGAUAUCAGGAGGAACACCGGUGGCGAAGGCGGGUCUCUGGGCCGAUACUGACGCUGGAGACGCGAAAGCGUGGGGAGCGAACAGG
rnacentral:rRNA from 1 species